rnacentral:rRNA from 1 species
GAUCAUGGCUCAGGAUGAACGCUAGCUACAGGCUUAACACAUGCAAGUCGAGGGGCAGCAUGUCGGUUGCUUGCAACCGAUGAUGGCGACCGGCGCACGGGUGAGUAACGCGUAUCCAACCUACCCUUGUCCAUCGGAUAACCCGUCGAAAGGCGGCCUAACACGAUAUGCGGUUCUCAGCAGGCAUCUAACGAGAACGAAAUGUGAAGGAGAAGGAUGGGGAUGCGUCUGAUUAGCUUGUUGGCGGGGUAACGGCCCACCAAGGCGACGAUCAGUAGGGGUUCUGAGAGGAAGGUCCCCCACAUUGGAACUGAGACACGGUCCAAACUCCUACGGGAGGCAGCAGUGAGGAAUAUUGGUCAAUGGGCGGAAGCCUGAACCAGCCAAGUAGCGUGAGGGAAGACUGCCCUAUGGGUUGUAAACCUCUUUUAUAAGGGAAUAAAAUACGGGACGUGUCCUGUUUUGCAUGUACCUUAUGAAUAAGGACCGGCUAAUUCCGUG